rnacentral:rRNA from 1 species
GACGAACGCUGGCGGCGUGCUUAACACAUGCAAGUCGAACGGAAAGGCCCUGCUUUUGUGGGGUGCUCGAGUGGCGAACGGGUGCGUAACACGUGAGUAACCUGCCCUUGACUUUGGUAUAACUUCAGGAAACUGGGGCUACUACCGGAUAGGAGCUCCUGCUGCAUGGUGGGGGUUGGAAAGUUUCGGCGGUUGGGGAUGGACUCGCGGCUUAUCAGCUUGUUGGUGGGGUAGUGGCUUACCAAGGCUUUGACGGGUAGCCGGCCUGGGAGGGUGAACGGCCACAUUGGGACUGAGGUACGGCCCAGACUCCUACGGGAGGCAGCAGUGGGGAAUAUUGCACAAUGGGCGGAAGCCUGAUGCAGCAACGCCGCGGUCGGGAUGACGGCCUUCGGGUUGUAAACCGCUUUCGCCUGUGACGAAGCGUGAGUGACGGUAAUGGGUAAAGAAGCACCGGCUAACUACGUG